rnacentral:rRNA from 1 species
GUGCCAGCCGCCGCGGUAAUACGGAGGGUGCAAGCGUUGUCCGGAAUUACUGGGCGUAAAGCGCGCGUAGGCGGACAUUUAAGUCAGGGGUGAAAUCCCGGGGCUCAACCCCGGAACUGCCCUUGAUACUGGGUGUCUUGAGUUCGAGAGAGGUGAGUGGAAUUCCGAGUGUAGAGGUGAAAUUCGUAGAUAUUCGGAGGAACACCAGUGGCGAAGGCGGCUCACUGGCUCGAUACUGACGCUGAGGUGCGAAAGGGUGGGGAGCAAACAGGAUUAGAAACCCCGGUAGU